GAUGAACGCUGGCGGCGUGCCUAAUACAUGCAAGUCGAGCGAACGGACGAGAAGCUUGCUUCUCUGAUGUUAGCGGCGGACGGGUGAGUAACACGUGGAUAACCUACCUAUAAGACUGGGAUAACUUCGGGAAACCGGAGCUAAUACCGGAUAAUAUUUUGAACCGCAUGGUUCAAAAGUGAAAGACGGUCUUGCUGUCACUUAUAGAUGGAUCCGCGCUGCAUUAGCUAGUUGGUAAGGUAACGGCUUACCAAGGCAACGAUGCAUAGCCGACCUGAGAGGGUGAUCGGCCACACUGGAACUGAGACACGGUCAAGACUCCUACGGGAGGCAGCAGUAGGGAAUCUUCCGCAAUGGGCGAAAGCCUGACGGAGCAACGCCGAGUGAGUGAUGAAGGUCUUCGGAUCGUAAAACUCUGUUAUUAGGGAAGAACAUAUGUGUAAGUAACUGUGCACAUCUUGACGGUAACUAAUCAGAAAGCCACGGCUAACUACGUG
rnacentral:rRNA from 1 species